ACCGAAAUAGCUCUCAGUUGGGAGAGCGUUAGACUAUAGAUCGAAAGUCCCUGGGUUCGAUCCCGGGAUUCAGCA
rnacentral:tRNA from 1 species